rnacentral:pre_miRNA from 1 species
AGUCUUUUGUAUUCGUGUUGAGUUUUCGCCAACAAUCGAACCAUUAGGGCUGAUGUAACCCCCCAAAUAAGUGAAGUG